rnacentral:piRNA from 1 species
UGAGCUACUAAGAGCUAGUUCCUUAAA